rnacentral:rRNA from 1 species
GAUGAACGCUGGCGGCGUGCCUAAUACACGCAAGUCGAGCGAACGGACGAGAAGCUUGCUUCUCUGAUGUUAGCGGCGGACGGGUGAGUAACACGUGGAUAACCUACCUAUAAGACUGGGAUAACUUCGGGAAACCGUAGCUAAUACCGGAUAAUAUUUUGAACCGCAUGGUUCAAAAGUGAAAGACGGUCUUGCUGUCACUUAUAGAUGGAUCCGCGCUGCAUUAGCUAGUUGGUAAGGUAACGGCUUACCAAGGCAACGAUGCAUAGCCGACCUGAGAGGGUGAUCAGCCACACUGGAACUGAAACACGGUCCAGACUCCUACGAGAGGCAGCAGUAGGGAAUCUUCAGCAAUGGGCGAAAGCCUGACGGAGCAACGCCGCGUGAUUGAUGAAGGUCUUCGGAUCGUAAAACUCUGUUAUUAGGGAAGAACAUAUGUGUAAGUAACUGUGCACAUCUUGACGGUACCUAAUCAGAAAGCCACGGCUAACUACGUG